rnacentral:rRNA from 1 species
AUUGAACGCUGGCGGCAGGCCUAACACAUGCAAGUCGAACGAGCGGCGGACGGGUGAGUAAUGUAUGGGGAUCUGCCUGAUGGCGGGGGAUAACUACUGGAAACGGUAGCUAAUACCGCAUACCAUCAGAUGAACCCAGAUGGGAUUAGCUAGUUGGUGGGUUAACGGCUUACCUAGGCGACGAUCCCUAGCUGGUCUGAGAGGAUGAUCAGCCACACUGGAACUGAGAAACGGCCCAGACUCCUACGGGAGGCAGCAGGGGGGAAUAUUGCACAAUGGGCGAAAGCCUGAUGCAGCCAUGCCGCGUGUAUGAAGAAGGCCUUCGGGUUGUAAAGUACUUUCAGUCGGGAGGCGUUACCGACAGAAGAAGCACCGGCUAACUCCGUGCCAGCAGCCGCGGUAAUAC